CGGACUCUCCACGCUUCAGUCUGUCCCAUCAUUCUCUCUGGAUCUGCCUCCGCCACUACAGCAACCUGCAAAAUAAAGCUAUUUUGGUCCCACCGGCUGGCCAGGGUUGGCUCCGCCCCUGCCUACAACAUACGGCAGGAUCUGUGAGGGUCCAGAUGCUGCAUACCUGGGCCAACGACUGGGACUACGCCAAAGACUAACUUUAUAUAAAUUGUUAUCUAAUACAUUGUUAAUACUAUCGAAAUUAAAACUUGUUUUAUUAUUGCA